GACGAACGCUGGCGGCGUGCCUAACACAUGCAAGUCGAACGGGGUGAUUCCUUCGGGGAUCACUUAGUGGCGAACGGGUGAGUAACGCGUGAGGAACCUGCCUUUCAGUGGGGGACAACAGUUGGAAACGACUGCUAAUACCGCAUAAUGUAGCGAGACCGCAUGAUCUUGCUACCAAAGCUUUAUGUGCUGAAAGAUGGCCUCGCGUCUGAUUAGAUAGUUGGUGGGGUAACGGCCUACCAAGUCGACGAUCAGUAGCCGGACUGAGAGGUUGAACGGCCACAUUGGGACUGAGAUACGGCCCAGACUCCUACGGGAGGCAGCAGUCGGGAAUAUUGCGCAAUGGAGGAAACUCUGACGCAGUGACGCCGCGUAUAGGAAGAAGGUUUUCGGAUUGUAAACUAUUGUCGUUAGGGAAGAUACAAGACAGUACCUAAGGAGGAAGCCCCGGCUAACUAUGUG
rnacentral:rRNA from 1 species